AAACUGAAGAGUUUGAUCCUGGCUCAGAUUGAACGCUGGCGGCAUGCCUUACACAUGCAAGUCGAACGGCAGCACGGGUGCUUGCACCUGGUGGCGAGUGGCGAACGGGUGAGUAAUACAUCGGAACAUGUCCUGUAGUGGGGGAUAGCCCGGCGAAAGCCGGAUUAAUACCGCAUACGAUCUACGGAUGAAAGCGGGGGACCUUCGGGCCUCGCGCUAUAGGGUUGGCCGAUGGCUGAUUAGCUAGUUGGUGGGGUAAAGGCCUACCAAGGCGACGAUCAGUAGCUGGUCUGAGAGGACGACCAGCCACACUGGGACUGAGACACGGCCCAGACUCCUACGGGAGGCAGCAGUGGGGAAUUUUGGACAAUGGGCGAAAGCCUGAUCCAGCAAUGCCGCGUGUGUGAAGAAGGCCUUCGGGUUGUAAAGCACUUUUGUCCGGAAAGAAAUCCUUGGCUCUAAUACAGUCGGGGGAUGACGGUACCGGAAGAAUAAGCACCGGCUAACUACGUGCCAGCAGCCGCGGUAAUACGUAGGGUGCGAGCGUUAAUCGGAAUUACUGGGCGUAAAGCGUGCGCAGGCGGUUUGCUAAGACCGAUGUGAAAUCCCCGGCUCAACCCGGGAACUGCAUUGGUGACUGGCAGGCUAGAGUAUGGCAGAGGGGGUAGAAUUCCACGUGUAGCAGUGAAAUGCGUAGAGAUGUGGAGGAAUACCGAUGGCGAAGGCAGCCCCCGGCCAAUACUGACGCUCAUGCACGAAAGCGUGGGGAGCAAACAGGAUUAGAUACCCCGGUAGUCCACGCCCUAAACGAUGUCAACUAGUUGUUGGGGAUUCAUUUCCUUAGUAACGUAGCUAACGCGUGAAGUUGACCGCCUGGGGAGUACGGUCGCAAGAUUAAAACUCAAAGGAAUUGACGGGGACCCGCACAAGCGGUGGAUGAUGUGGAUUAAUUCGAUGCAACGCGAAAACCUUACCUACCCUUGACAUGGUCGGAAUCCUGCUGAGAGGUGGGAGUGCUCGAAAGAGAACCGGCGCACAGGUGCUGCAUGGCUGUCGUCAGCUCGUGUCGUGAGAUGUUGGGUUAAGUCCCGCAACGAGCGCAACCCUUGUCCUUAGUUGCUACGCAAGAGCACUCUAAGGAGACUGCCGGUGACAAACCGGAGGAAGGUGGGGAUGACGUCAAGUCCUCAUGGCCCUUAUGGGUAGGGCUUCACACGUCAUACAAUGGUCGGAACAGAGGGUUGCCAACCCGCGAGGGGGAGCUAAUCCCAGAAAACCGAUCGUAGUCCGGAUUGCACUCUGCAACUCGAGUGCAUGAAGCUGGAAUCGCUAGUAAUCGCGGAUCAGCAUGCCGCGGUGAAUACGUUCCCGGGUCUUGUACACACCGCCCGUCACACCAUGGGAGUGGGUUUUACCAGAAGUGGCUAGUCUAACCGCAAGGAGGACGGUCACCACGGUAGGAUUCAUGACUGGGGUGAAGUCGUAACAAGGUAGCCGUAUCGGAAGGUGCGGCUGGAUCACCUCCUUU
rnacentral:rRNA from 1 species